UGAGGUAGUUGGUUGUAUAGAUGAAGAGGUGGUUCAGGUUGACCCUUUGGAGUAACCUAUACAGCCAACUGCCUUCC
rnacentral:pre_miRNA from 1 species